ACCGAAAUAGCUCAGUUGGGAUUGGAAGAAUAUAGAUCGAAAAGUCCCUGGUUCGAUCCCGGGUUCCGGUA
rnacentral:tRNA from 1 species